rnacentral:lncRNA from 1 species
CUAGGCUCAGCCUCCAUGCUGGCUUGGCAGGAGGCUUGGUCCCCUGAGGACAUUAAAGAAGCUCCUGGGGGUGAAGGGAGGGUGGUUAGGGGACCUCAGAUGAGCCCCGAGAGGAGGCAGGGUCCAGACUAAAGGAUCAGACAAGACGUUGAUCUUCAUCUUCUGACACAAAAAGAAAUGUCAGUUUAAGAGGCGAAAAAUGUGAGCUGGGCAAAGAAGAUCAAGGGGUUGCCUGACUUAGGACCUGAGCUGCCUUGGAGCUAUUGAGAAGUCCGAGUCUGCAAUGGCUCAUUUGAUGCGUCAACCCGGCAGAUCACGGGGCACCCAGGGCUUCAUACUUGGACUGGAACCACGCCCCCACCUCUCCUGCGCCUCCUUUCCAGAGUCAGCAGAUGGCAGGGCUCCUCGGCCUCCAUAAUCAUACAGGGUGAAGGCCACACCUGCAGGACCUCAAGUGACCUUAUUUUGAGAUGCGGUCUUUACAGAAAAGUCGAGAUAAAAUGGGAUCGUUAGGGCCCUAAUCCAACUUGGCUGAUGUCCUGACAAAGAGGAGAGACUCGGACACCGAGACAGAC